UUCACUUAUCGCUGGUGUAGUUCAUCGCUUUCUCUUUUCAUCUCUCUUUUUCUUUCGUGUUCGAGUGAGGGUCUUCCCUCUACUCUUGAUGGGGUCAUGAGAGUGUAGAGGAGCUAUUAAGGAGGCUUUCCUCCUUGUCCGAUCUUGAUCGAUCAGAUCUUUGUUCGUGUCAGGAUGAGGUUCUCCUCUGGUUUCUGACACAAUCAAUUUCAGCUCAUGUUAGGAUGAGGUUCUCC
rnacentral:lncRNA from 1 species